UCGAAAGGGCCGGGGACCGGCAUGCAGAUCGAGAUUGAGCAGGCAAGCAGCCCAUCGCACACGUUCAGCGUGCCGCUCAUCAGUCUUGCAUGCACGACAGUGACAGUCUUAUUUGGGACGGCUGUGAGGAUCAUAUAAUAGUUGCCGAAGCAACACACGAACGAAUCCUCUUUUAUUAUUUGAGCACACUUGAAAUUAAUUAUAUAUAGAUGUUCUUCCCCCAUGCAUACAGCACUCCGAUCCAGGGGGUGCGCAAGCAAGUACAUAUUUAUCCGAUAGAACAAUUUAAUUUCCUUCGUUCACACAUUAAUUCACUAGAUCGAGCGAAAUAAUGGAAUUGUUGGUGCACGAAGCAGUCUCCAUCGAGCUGCCCUCCAGCACACGGUGAAUUCAAGUGCCUAGGGAUCGAUGUCCUUUUCCUCAUGGUGCAAUAAUGCUUGGUUUAUGCUGCUAGCAAAGAGGUGGUAGUCAAACGACAAAUGUGACACUCAUGUGUUUUCAUGUCGAUGGACUGAAGCGGUGAAGGACGAACGACGGUCUUAAACUGAGUGGUGGCCGGAGGAUCAACCGUAGGUGUGGCUGACACAUGUGGUCAUCGACAAGUGCAAGAUGACAUGGAGGACUAGAUCGUGUUGAUCGGGUCAAUACGGCGGUUGAUCAAGUCAAAAGCGAGGUGUUGUAUAGGACAUGGCGACCGAGAGGUCAAGGACCAGAGGUCACCCAUAUCGAGAUCAUGGGGGCUAGCAUAUGAAGUACGCUAACCAUGGAUGUUUUGAUGAUUUGGGCCCCAAAACCACAGGUGAACGAUUUCCGGGUUUGGGUCUCAAAACUAGGAUAGAGUUUCAGCAGGAACUAGAUGCGGCAUGUGGCAUCAUCAUAAAAGCUUUCAUUAAUGUGAAGCAAAGUCGUGAAAAACUAUGAAUGGUAAGAUAUUUGUGAGAU